CCUACGGGGUGCAGCAGUAGGGAAUAUUGCUCAAUGGGCGAAACCCUGAAGCAGCAACGCCGCGUGGAUGAUGAAGGUUUUCGGAUUGUAAAGUCCUUUUGUUAGAGAAGAUAAUGACGGUGUCUAACGAAUCAGCACCGGCUAAGUCCGUGCCAGCAGCCGCGGGAAUACGGAGGGUGCAAGAGUUACGCGGAAUCAUUGGGCGUAAAGAGCGCGUAGGCGGGAUAGCAAGUCAGAUGUGAAAUGCUGGGGCUUAACCAUAGAACUGAAUUUGAAACUGUUAUUCUAGAGUAUGGGAGAGGUAGGUGGAAUUCUAGGUGUAGGGGUGAAAUGCGUAGAGAUCAAGAGGAAUACUGAUUGCGAAGGCGGCCUGCUGGAACAUAACUGACGCUGAUGCGCGAAAGCGUGGGGAGCAAACAGGAUUAGAUACCCGAGUAGUC
rnacentral:rRNA from 1 species